AUUGAACGCUGGCGGCAUGCCUUACACAUGCAAGUCGAACGGCAGCAUGGAGAGCUUGCUCUCUGAUGGCGAGUGGCGAACGGGUGAGUAAUGCAUCGGAACGUACCGUGUAAUGGGGGAUAACGUAGCGAAAGUUACGCUAAUACCGCAUACGACCUGAGGGUGAAAGCAGGGGAUCGCAAGACCUUGCGUUAUACGAGCGGCCGAUGUCAGAUUAGCUAGUUGGUAGGGUAAAGGCAUACCAAGGCAACGAUCUGUAGCGGGUCUGAGAGGAUGAUCCGCAACACUGGGACUGAGACACGGCCCAGACUCCUACGGGAGGCAGCAGUGGGGAAUUUUGGACGAUGGGGGCAACCCUGAUCCAGCCAUGCCGCGUGAGUGAAGAAGGCCUUCGGGUUGUAAAGCUCUUUCGGCCGGGAAGAAAUCGCACAGGCUAAUACUCUGUGUGGAUGACGGUACCGGCAUAAGAAGCACCGGCUAACUACGUGCCAGCAGCCGCAGUAA
rnacentral:rRNA from 1 species